AGCAGUCGCCGCGGGAAUACGAAGGGUGCAAGCGUUAAUCGGAAUUACUGGGCGUAAAGCGUGCGUAGGCGGUGAGUUAAGUCUGCUGUGAAAUCCCCGGGCUCAACCUGAGAAUGGCAAUGGAUACUGGCAAGCUAGAGUGUGUCAGAGGAUGGUGGAAUUCCCAGUGUAGCGGUGAAAUGCGUAGAGAUCGGGAGGAACAUCAGUGGCGAAGGCGGCCAUCUGGGACAACACUGACGCUGAGGCACGAAAGCGUGGGGAGCAAACAGGAUUAGAUACCCGAGUAGUCCCUGUCUCUUAUAC
rnacentral:rRNA from 1 species